UACGGAGGGGGCUAGCGUUGUUCGGAAUUACUGGGCGUAAAGCGCGCGUAGGCGGCUUUGUAAGUUAGAGGUGAAAGCCCGGAGCUCAACUCCGGAACUGCCUUUAAGACUGCAUCGCUAGAACGUCGGAGAGGUAAGUGGAAUUCCGAGUGUAGAGGUGAAAUUCGUAGAUAUUCGGAAGAACACCAGUGGCGAAGGCGACUUACUGGACGACUGUUGACGCUGAGGUACGAAAGCGUGGGGAGCAAACAGG
rnacentral:rRNA from 1 species